UGAGGAACAUGACCUUCGGCGGGGGAGUAGCCGGCCCAACGGCCGGGUAAUACCGCGUACGACCACAUGGGGACAUCCCUGAGUGGUGAAAGCAGCAAUGCGCCGAUGGAGUGCCUCGCGGCCUAUCAGCUAGUUGGUGAGGUAACGGCUCACCAAGGCGACGACGGGUAGCUGGUCUGAGAGGAUGGCCAGCCACAUUGGGACUGAGACACGGCCCAGACCUCUACCGGGAGG
rnacentral:rRNA from 1 species